rnacentral:rRNA from 1 species
CCAGACUCCUACGGGAGGCAGCAGUAGGGAAUCUUCGGCAAUGGACGAAAGUCUGACCGAGCAACGCCGCGUGAGUGAAGAAGGUUUUCGGAUCGUAAAACUCUGUUGGUAGAGAAGAACGUUGGUGAGAGUGGAAAGCUCAUCAAGUGACGGUAACUACCCAGAAAGGGACGGCUAACUACGUGCCAGCAGCCGCGGUAAUACGUAGGUCCCGAGCGUUGUCCGGAUUUAUUGGGCGUAAAGCGAGCGCAGGUGGUUUAUUAAGUCUGGUGUAAAAGGCAGUGGCUCAACCAUUGUAUGCAUUGGAAACUGGUAGACUUGAGUGCAGGAGAGGAGAGUGGAAUUCCAUGUGUAGCGGUGAAAUGCGUAGAUAUAUGGAGGAACACCGGUGGCGAAAGCGGCUC